AGAACUGAAAACAAGAUCAGUGGUAAUUGCUGGUUAGUGCAUAAAACUAAAUGCACUGUGUUAAAUGAAAGAAACCAGAUCUGAAAGGCUUCAUACUGUAUGACUGCAUUUAUCUAACGUUCUAGAAAAGCUGGCUUCUUGAUGUCCUGGAAGAGAGCGCGGCCGCCACGCUGGUUUUGCAUCUUCAGGAGACGCUCGUAGCCCUCGCGCUUCUCCUCGGUCAAUUCGCGGAAGAAGUGGCUCACGCCUUCCAGAGCCGCAUCAUCGCGGUCGAAAUAGAAGCCCAGAGAGAGGUCCCAGAAGCAGGAGAUAGCCGAGAAGAUGGUCCCGGAGGUUGCAAGUGGAGAGGAAAUUGGAGGGCGGUCGGAGGCUGGAAGACCGUCCCCGGAUCUGUUCCGUCCAAACACUGUUGAAGCAAGAGACAGACCCACUGGACCGCCGAACUGCCUAUCACCUCUUAUUCUUAAAAAUAAAUCUUGGUUUCCUCCAA
rnacentral:lncRNA from 1 species